CAUGGGCAACGGUGGAGCGAUGUAUAGGCCUACUCAAGGGCAGGUGGAUGUCCAUCGGGUCAGCGGGGGGAACGUUGCUCUACAGCCCAGAAAAGACAUGCAAUAUUAUAUUAGCAUGAGGGGUUCUGCAUAAUAUUGCGCUGGCAAAUGGGGUGCCAUUUGCCGACCUGCAGCCAGAUGACCCGAUGCCCAGAGAUCCCUGGCCACAGGCGCCACAUGCUCGAGCUCUACGACGAAGGGAGGAUUUAAUUCGGCUCUUCUAAUAUCUAAGGGACCUCUGCAAGACCGAUGAAGGCAGACCAGCAAUUCGGCCAGACACGGGUUCCGAGCUGCUUCGGCGGCGGCGGCCCUUCCGUUUCUUCAACUGGGCUUGGCUCUGUUCCCAUUUUGGAUGAACCUGCUUGCAUUUCAUCUUUAAAAAUAAAAAGCAAUCGUGAGA